rnacentral:rRNA from 1 species
AGUAAUACAUCGGAACGUGUCUUCUAGUGGGGGAUAACUGCCCGAAAGGGCAGCUAAUACCGCAUGAGACCUGAGGGUGAAAGCGGGGGAUCGCAAGACCUCGCGCUGGAAGAGCGGCCGAUGUCCGAUUAGCUAGUUGGUGAGGUAAAGGCUCGCCAAGGCGACGAUCGGUAGCUGGUCUGAGAGGACGACCAGCCACACUGGGACUGAGACACGGCCCAG